rnacentral:lncRNA from 1 species
GAGAAAACGAUCCUAUUCACAACAGUCUCAAAGAUAAAAAUAUGCCUGAAAUGGGCUUAAUAAAACAGUCUGGCACAGUGGCGUCCCACAGCAUUCCCAGUGUGCGGUGCUGAAGAGCUCUGGACAUGGGACUUCCAAGGAUCAGCAGCUCACUACUGUUCGAAGGCCGUGCGCCCCCAUGCCCAUCACAAUGUGAACAGGAUCUUUUUGUGUGUGGGUAUGGAAAAAAUCAUCAAUCUGAUCAUAAAAUUUAUAUAAAAAGCGCAAGGAUUCACAAUAGCCAAACAAUUUCAAAAAGGAAUGAAGUUGGAGGACUAACAAUUUUGAAUUUGAAAACUUGCUACAAAACUAUAGUAAUAAAGUGAGCGAUCAACGUCCAGAUCCAUGGAGCCCAGGUAGGCCCAUCUGGACUGGUCAGUUAACUUAACGACGCUGCCAAGGAUUCCCAUGGGGAAAAGGGCUGUCUGUCCCACAAUGACACAAUGUGACCAGGUACCAUGUGUCAGAGAUAGUGGAGACCCUCGCUUCAUGCCUAUCACAAAAAUGAGCCCAAAUGAACCUUGAAGACAUGGAACCCUGAACUCAAAGGAAAGGGGGAUCUCCACGACUGUGCCAGACAGUCCCCUGGACAGACACCAAGGCAGGGUCCAUGAAGGAGAGGGACUGAACCCAUCACACUGACAGUUCCAUGCUCCAUGACUUCAUUAAGGAAGUGACGUUUGGGAGAAAACAUUUGCAGAUUGCCGCUGUGACAACGGACUCGCACUUCACACUCGGGGACACGGGCACCGGGCACCGCCCUGGCUGCUCUGCCACUGCAGCUCAGAUUUUAAAGGGACAGGUUUCUCUCUCCUCCUCUCUCCCUGCCCCUCCCUGAGCUCAGGGAAACAGGUCACCUUUCUUCCCAUCCACGCAGACUCCUGUCCCUGAGCACACACCCUCCAUAGGCAGGACAUCCUCCAGACUCUGGGGAUGGCCCAGAAGGUCUCAGAAAUGACUGUCUCCCACGUUAACAAGUGAAUUUCAGCUCCCACAGAGACAGGUGGAGUGUGGCCUUGGAGUCGCCUCU